rnacentral:rRNA from 1 species
AUUGAACGCUGGCGGCAGGCCUAACACAUGCAAGUCGAACGGUAACAGGAAGAAGCUUGCUUCUUUGCUGACGAGUGGCGGACGGGUGAGUAAUGUCUGGGAAACUGCCUGAUGGAGGGGGAUAACUACUGGAAACGGUAGCUAAUACCGCAUAACGUCGCAAGACCAAAGAGGGGGACCUUCGGGCCUCUUGCCAUCGGAUGUGCCCAGAUGGGAUUAGCUAGUAGGUGGGUAAAGGCUCACCUAGGCGACGAUCCCUAGCUGGUCUGAGAGGAUGACCAGCACCACUGGAACUGAGACACGGUCCAGACUCCUCCGGGAGGCAGCAGUGGGGAAUAUUGCACAAUGGGCGCAAGCCUGAUGCAGCCAUGCCGCGUGUAUGAAGAAGCCUUCGGGUUGUAAAGUACUUUCAGCGGGGAGGAAGGGAGUAAAGUUAAUACCUUUGCUCAUUGACGUUACCCGCAGAAGAAGCACCGGCUAACUCCGUG